AUGUCUCGGACCGACAAGGAGCUCUGGCCAGAGGAUGUGCUUCUGAAUGACCUCAAGUCACUGAUGACUCAACUCAACGACAUUCCUGACCGAGUGCAAGCCUGGAAGAAGUCAGUUGCAUGCUGCGAUGCCGAUAUGGCUCUAUCACUCGUCCGUGUUCAUUGCAAGGACAACAAGGAAGAGAAGCUGAAGGCUCUUCAGGUGGCUACCACCAAGAAGCAUCAAUUUCAAUCUUUCAUGGAGACCUUCAUCGAUGCGGCCACUCGCAUCACAGACGGUAUCGACCUGGACACUUUUGUCGAGCCAGCAAGUCCUCCUCCCGUCGAGUCAAAAACUUGA
rnacentral:rRNA from 1 species